CGUAGGGUGCAGGCGUUAAUCGGAAUUACUGGGCGUAAAGCGUGCGCAGGCAGUUUGCUAAGAGAGAUGUGAAAUCCCCGGGCUUAACCUGGGAACUGCGUUUCUAACUGGCAGGCUUGAGUGUGGCAGAGGGGGGUGGAAUUCCACGUGUAGCAGUGAAAUGCGUAGAGAUGUGGAGGAACACCGAUGGCGAAGGCAGCCCCCUGGGCUAACACUGACGCUCAUGCACGAAAGCGUGGGGAGCAAACAGGAUUAGAUACCCUGGUAGUCCACGCCCUAAACUAUGUCAACUGGUUGUCGGGGAAGCAAUUCCUUGGUAACGAAGCUAACGCGUGAAGUUGACCGCCUGGGGAGUACGGCCGCAAGGUUA
rnacentral:rRNA from 1 species